UCGUGCAGGUGGUUUAUCGCAUCGUACCUGAAAGCCCGAGGCUUAACCUCGGCGUUGGGUACGAGAUGGAUAGACUUGAGGGAAGCAGAGGAAAGGGGAACUCAUGGUGGAGCAGUGAAAUGCGUUGAUAUCAUGAGGAACACCAAAGGCGAAGGCACCUUUCUGGGCUUUUCCUGACACUCAGACACGAAAGCUAGGGGAGCGAAGCAGAUUAGAGACCUGCGUAGUCCUAGCCCUAAACGCAUGUCUGCUAGUUACCCCGAUUUAAUCGGGGCGACGUAAGCUAACGCGUUAAGCAGACCGCCUGGGGAGUACGAUCGCAAGAUUAAA
rnacentral:rRNA from 1 species